AUUGAACGCUGGCGGCAAGCCUAACACAUGCAAGUCGAACGAGUGGCGGACGGGUGAGUAAUGUCUGGGAAACUGCCUGCUGGCGGGGGAUAACUACUGGACACGGUAGCUAAUACCGCAUACCAUCGGAGGUGCCCAGAUGGGCUUAGCUAGUAGGUGGGGUAAAGGCUCACCUAGGCGACGAUCCCUAGCUGGUCUGAGAGGAUGACCAGCCACACGGGAACGUAGACACGGUCCAGACUCCUACGGGAGGCAGCAGUGGUGAAUAUUGCACAAGUGGCGCAAGCCUGAUGCAGCCAGGCCGCGUGGAUGAAGAAGGCCUUCGGGUUGUAUAGUACUUUCAGCGGGGAGGCGUUACCCGCAGAAGAAGCACCGGCUAACUCCGUGCCAGCAGCGCGGUAAUAC
rnacentral:rRNA from 1 species